rnacentral:lncRNA from 1 species
CGGGGCAGGAGGGAGCCUUCUCCUGGGAUCGCCAGGCACAGCAGCCCCCGAGCGCGUGCGCAGCCGCCAGCAUCGCCGCCCUCGUGCACCACGGGGGUGGGGGGAACAAUCAGCACUAGACCUAAAACCAAAUCGCUUUCCCAAAUCAGGCAGAUGCAGAUCUAUUUUCUAUCGUGCGAGAAUCAACGUUUUUCUAGAGACUUUUCGUUUGGUUUUUUUUUGGUUUUUGUAUUUUUUCUAACCGUGCAUCCUGCGACGGGGCCACUCUUGCCUGACUCUGCAUCUCCGCACCAGGCGCUGGGACGUACCUGGGGCACUUCUCAGCUCCGUGGCAGCUCCCCGACCGCUGCCGGAGCUGCAUCCGUCUCCACCGCCCCGCAGCUGGGUCGGGCGCGGGGCGCUGCGGGUGCUGCCGUGCCAGCCCUGCCUCCCCGCGGAUCGUUUCACACUCCACGAGCUCCCAGCGAGAGCAGGAGGCUGCGGGCACUGCUGAGCUCUUCACCAGAUGACCUACGUGAUUGUCACUUUUUAAAUAAAUCUCCUCUUGAUAAGCCACUGGGCUCUCGCCGUCUCCUUCUGCGUUUGGGGGUGCCCUGCCCAGAAGGGGCACCCCCAGCCAGCCCCGGGGCAGCCAGGAGAAGCACCCCACCAGCACAGGGCCCUGGGGAUGUGCGAGGAGGCGCUGGAGAAAGCAGGGAGAGCGCGGUGCAGUAGGCAGAUAUUUAUUGGUGUGGAGAGGAGGGGGGGUCACAGGGUAACAAACACUGCAGGUGACCACGGCACAAGCUGGGACAGAGCCGCUGCUGCCAGGCAGGAUGGGGAGCACCAGGAACUCCCCAUCGAAGCCCCUCUGCAGCCCCCAGGCCAACCCCGAGGCAGGCAGGGGGUGGCUCUGCCCCGGCACCAGGCGUGCCAUACAUCCAUGCAGCCACCCGGAGCAGGGCAGGGGCUCUCCCAUGUCACAGCAGCACCCGCAGAGCCCAGAGCCUCGCACCUUGUGCCAAACACAGCUCCAAGCCACGGGGUUCGCAGGGGAGGAAGGAGCUCAGGCGGCUUACGGAGCCCUUUCAAGCUCCAGCGACCGAGGAGAGCAGCUUUUGAGGACGCUGGCCCCUAGUGCAGAUGCUGCUGGAGCCGGGAGGAGCGCGCUCCACACAUGCUCUGGCUCUGCCCUCACGUUCCCACAGGCUCCGUCCCAGCCCUGGCCAGGGCCGCUCAGCCUGUCCCACCACGGGGUUCGCUACGAGGGAUGCGGGGAUUACACAGCAGCAUUGGCUACGCUACAAAUCACACUCCAACUAAAUCUCACGGGGACAACGCUGAGGAGGAGGCGUGCUCGGAGCGCUGACAGCGAGGACUCCUGGCCGUGGCAGACCCUGACGCGCUCCUCUGCAGCGGUGGGAACCACUUGGAGGCAGCAAGCCCCGGCUGGUGCUUGCUCUGCGAGCACAAAGCGCAUACAGCAGGUUAGUACAGGAACACUACCACUACGAGAUACACGACAGGAGGCGUCCCUCCCGCUGCACAGGGCCAAGCCUGAGCCACCGGCCCCUCCGGCCCCCUCACUGCACACACAACUCAAACUUCAGCUCGUGAAUAAUUUAACUAGCGACUGUACAGUUUCCCCAUCCGAGCCAGUUCGACAGGUGGGACAUCCCUGGAGUCUGGGCAAGGGGUAA